UGAGCGACUUCGAAGUGGGCUCCUUUCACUUGACUAUUUCUCUUUUUUAGGAGGGAGAGACUGAAUCCACCUAAAAGCUAAGGGAAGCCUGGAAGUAUUCAAAGGCUGAUAAAAAGAGACGUGUACUACGAGACCACCAAGACUGAUAGGUCGGCGGGAUCAGCCAGUGUCCCCGUGUGUAAGGCCCUUUCCUGAAAGAGGUCGAAUAGUUCCUGUCCCAUUCAUACUACUGUUGGCUUCUGUGCUAUGUCUAGCGGCUGGUGAAUCCUACCCAGUAUCGGAAUUGGAUUUGAUAUUUCCUCGGUUUACGAAAAGGGUUUUAAUGGCGACCGGACAGAUGCGGCAUUACCGCAGUUGUAUGUACUUGUAUUUCUUUUCUGCUGUUAGCAUGCUUUGAAAAGAGAAAAGGUCAGUGCUUCUCCUGUGAGCGACUUCGAAGUGGGCUCCUUUCACUUGACUAUUUCUCUUUUUUAGGAGGGAGAGACUGAAUCCACCUAAAAGCUAAGGGAAGCCUGGAAGUAUUCAAAGGCUGAUAAAAAGAGACGUGUACUACGAGACCACCAAGACUGAUAGGUAUUCUGACCAAAAGGGGCAAGUUUUCUUAUAGGAUCUACCCUCCCAACAAAAAAAAGAAUUCCUUGCUGUGGAAAAGCUGUUCAAGUUGAAAAGCAUAAAGGUUGAAGGAAAUGCAG
rnacentral:lncRNA from 1 species